GGUGAUAUAGCUCUGUUGGUAGAGUGCUUGCUUCUCAGGCAUAAGGCCCUGGAUUCAAUCCCCAGCACCACCA
rfam:Ictidomys tridecemlineatus contig016710, whole genome shotgun sequence.